GGCUGGGUAGCUCAGCUGGUUAGAGCGCGCGACUCAUAAUCGCGAGGUCGGGAGUUCAAGUCUCCCCCCCGCCA
rnacentral:tRNA from 2 species